rnacentral:rRNA from 1 species
GCGUUCUGUAAGCCGUCGAAGGUGUGCUGUAAGGCAUGCUGGAGGUAUCAGAAGUGCGAAUGCUGACAUGAGUAACGAUAAAGGGGGUGAAAAACCCCCUCGCCGGAAGACCAAGGGUUCCUGUCCAACGUUAAUCGGGGCAGGGUAAGUCGACCCCUAAGGCGAGGCUGAAAAGCGUAGUCGAUGGGAAACGGGUUAAUAUUCCCGUACUUCUUAUAAUUGCGAUGGGGGGACGGAGAAGGCUAGGUGGGCUUGGCGACGGUCGUCCAAGUUCAAGUGCGUAGGCUAAGAGUUUAGGUAAAUCCGGACUCUUGUUAGGCUGAGACACGAUGUCGAGCUACUACGGUAGUGAAGCCAUUGAUGCCAUGCUUCCAGGAAAAGCCUCUAAGCUUCAGAUUAUAAGAAAUCGUACCCCAAACCGACACAGGUGGUCGAGUAGAGAAUACUAAGGCGCUUGAGAGAACUCGGGUGAAGGAACUAGGCAAAAUGGUACCGUAACUUCGGGAGAAGGUACGCUCCUAGCGGUGAUGAGACUUGCUCUCUAAGCUGCCGGGAGUCGCAGAUACCAGGUGGCUGCAACUGUUUAUUAAAAACAUAGCACUGUGCUAAAUCGUAAGAUGACGUAUACGGUGUGACGCCUGCCCGGUGCUUGAAGGUUAAUUGAUGGGGUUAGACUUCGGUCGAAGCUCUUGAUCGAAGCCCAAGUAAACGGCGGCCGUAACGAUAACGGUCCUAAGGUAGCGAAAUUCCUUGUCGGGUAAGUUCCGACCUGCACGAAUGGCGUAACGAUGGCGGCGCUGUCUCCACCCGAGACUCAGUGAAAUUGAAAUCGCUGUGAAGAUGCAGUGUAUCCGCGGCUAGACGGAAAGACCCCGUGAACCUUUACUAUAGCUUUGCACUGGACUUUGAGUUUGCUUGUGUAGGAUAGGUGGGAGGCUUUGAAGCGUGGACGCCAGUUCGCGUGGAGCCAACCUUGAAAUACCACCCUGGCAACCUUGAGGUUCUAACUCUGGUCCGUUAUCCGGAUCGAGGACAGUGUAUGGUGGGUAGUUUGACUGGGGCGGUCUCCUCCUAAAGAGUAACGGAGGAGUACGAAGGUGCGCUCAGACCGGUCGGAAAUCGGUCGUAGAGUAUAAAGGCAAAAGCGCGCUUGACUGCGAGACAGACACGUCGAGCAGGUACGAAAGUAGGUCUUAGUGAUCCGGUGGUUCUGUAUGGAAGGGCCAUCGCUCAACGGAUAAAAGGUACUCCGGGGAUAACAGGCUGAUACCGCCCAAGAGUUCAUAUCGACGGCGGUGUUUGGCACCUCGAUGUCGGCUCAUCACAUCCUGGGGCUGAAGCCGGUCCCAAGGGUAUGGCUGUUCGCCAUUUAAAGUGGUACGCGAGCUGGGUUUAGAACGUCGUGAGACAGUUCGGUCCCUAUCUGCCGUGGACGUUUGAGAUUUGAGAGGGGCUGCUCCUAGUACGAGAGGACCGGAGUGGACGAACCUCUGGUGUUCCGGUUGUCACGCCAGUGGCAUUGCCGGGUAGCUAUGUUCGGAAAAGAUAACCGCUGAAAGCAUCUAAGCGGGAAACUUGCCUCGAGAUGAGAUCUCACUGGAACCUUGAGUUCCCUAAAGGGCCGUCGAAGACUACGACGUUGAUAGGUUGGGUGUGUAAGCGCUGUGAGGCGUUGAGCUAACCAAUACUAAUUGCCCGUGAGGCUUGACCAU